GAAAAAAACCAUUACAGACAUAAAGAGAGUGUGUCGUAACUACAGUGUGAAAACGUUCACUAUCACAGAAACAGAAUGUCUGGUGCGAACAGUGACCUUCUACAUAGAUCAACCUUGAGUGUUUAUAAUAACCUCAUGGAUCAGUUUAAUCCUGGCUUGCAAAAGCUGGUUACUUUAGGAAACAGCUACAUCAAGG